rnacentral:rRNA from 1 species
UACGUAGGGGGCGAGCGUUGUCCGGAUUUAUUGGGCGUAAAGCGCGUGUAGGCGGCCCGGUAAGUCCGCUGUGAAAGUCGGGGGCUCAACCCUCGAAUGCCGGUGGAUACUGUCGGGCUAGAGUGCGGAAGAGGCGAGUGGAAUUCCUGGUGUAGCGGUGAAAUGCGCAGAUAUCAGGAGGAACACCAAUUGCGAAGGCAGCUCGCUGGGACGUUACUGACGCUGAGACGCGAAAGCGUGGGAGCAAACAGG